GACGAACGCUGGCGGCGUGCUUAACACAUGCAAGUCGAACGGAAGGACGCUGCUUUUGUGUGGUGCUUGUUAGGCGAACGGGUGAGUAACACGCGAGUAACCUGCCCUUGACUGUGUGGUAACUUCUGGAGACUGGGGCGAAUACCGGGGAGGAGCUCCUGCUGCAUGUGGGUGGUAGGAAAGUUUCGGCGGUGGGGGCUGGACUCGCUGGUUAUCAGCUUCUUUGUGGGGUAGUGGCUUACCAGGGUUAUGACGGGUAGGCCGCCUGGGAGGGUGACCGGCCACAUUGGUACUGCGGGACGGAGCAGACUCCAACGGGACGCAGCAGGCGGGAAUAUUGCGCAAUGGGGCGACGUCUGAUGCAGCAGUGCCGGGAGCGGGAUACUGGGCUUCGAGUUGUAAACCGAUUUCGAAUUUGCCGAGGAGAGCGUGACGGUACUGGGUCAAGAAGCACCGGCUAACUACGUG
rnacentral:rRNA from 1 species